GAAGUCUAUAGAUAUCACUAAUAUAUAGAUACGUAGGACUUCGGCAUUGAAUUUGGUAACGCGACGGUCCGCAUCGUCUGCUCAUAUUCGAUGCCAUCGUGUCAUAAGUCCACAGACGGCCACUGCUGGACAUAGGCCUCCCUCAAGCGUCGCCACAAAGAUCGGUCCUGCGCUGCGUGCAUCCAAUGGAUCAACGCGAACCUCAAUAGGUCGUCAGUCCAUCUUGUGGGAGACCUACCCAUGCUUCCGAUCUUCAUGGCACGUCUUCCGGUACGCGAUCGCCACUCAAGAACAUUCUGGCCCCAACGGCCGGAAAUAAAAACAGAGCAUACGGUAUAUCAAAUCUUGGGUGGUGCAUAAGCGUAAGUAACAGAAUAGUGGCCUAACUACAGAUUGGCAGGGCAGAUAAGUUACAGGGGCUCCAGCCCGGCGGUGUGCCAGCGCCAAGUAACAUAAAACAAUACAAUACCAAAUACACUGACCUAAAUUUUAUUUUUAUUAGAUAUUCAACUAAAAUGCAUCCAAUAUUACUAAUACUGUGCGUUCACUACAUGCUUCAGUGAUUUAUUAAAAUUAAUUAUAAUGUGACAAUUUUGAAUAGGACCCCAUCCAAUUAAUUUAGCAUAGGUGUCAGAUGGUAUAACUAAACCACUGGUAUGGAAUAAUAAUUAUGUAAAUACCACUCUGUUUUCCUAUUGUAUCUACCCCCAAGUUUUUAAUGGAACAAAUCAACCUUUUUAUAUUAUAUAGAGAUAGAGAUACACCUUAAAAGAACAUUGAAAAAGUAUUCAUUUGUGCAGCCUAUUCCAGCAUAGAGCGCAAUCAUUUCCAGACCUCUCUUCAAGACACUAUUUAACACAUGCCACACACAAAAAGCAUGGUGAAUAUUUUAUUAAUUAUAAAUUAAUCCAUGCCUUUCUGAUCAAUACGAAAUUUAAAUAAAAUAUGUGUGAUACCUUAUAUCCUGAUUAGGAUUUGAACAAUCUACAAAUGAAAUUAUUUUUGAUAUUUACUUCUACAUACCUUGCUUAUAGACAGUCUUUGCAUAGCCGGAAACUGAUGUGAACCAGUAGUAUCAGUAAUUUGUAAUGUGCAUAUUGUUUUGUUACUGCUUAUCACCUGAAAAGAAUUUCGGUUUAUUUUUAUUCACUAUAAAAACACAUUUAUGCAACUAAUAUGCCUAAAUUUUUUCACACAUUAUGUGUAGACAAUCGGGUGCAAUUGACUCGCACAUAGUGACUUGCCCAAUGAAAAACUAUCAAAGUUUAUACUCUAUAACUUUGAAUUGUUGAUGCAGUGCAAAUGUUACAUGCGUCUUUGGUAGUGUUUUUUUAUAUCCUUGCAUUUCAAGAAGUAAAACUUACAUGGGAUAAAUUACAUUACUUUCUGUAUUGGCAUACUUCCGAAAAGCUAGGUAAUGGAUUUGGAAUACUGUUAAUUUAUUCAAAUAUUUAAGUAACAUUUCAUUGCCCUAAUUCUAGUUUAUAUCUCAAAUUUUCCCAAAACUAUACUUUACUUUUAAACUUUCCAGCUGAGUUUUUACACCAUCUGUGGUACAUAAUACUAAUGAAGAUAAUGACUGUUUAGUUUAGUUCAGUUAUUUUCAGUACAAUGGCUGACUUCAUUUGAUAGUGAGAUAUAGUGAGUAUUUCAAAGGUUAAAAAUAAAUUAAAUUUAGUAUCCAGUUUUUUUUAAGCUUAAUGCUUGUGUAUUAAAUUGGGGAUUUUUGUGGCCAGUUUGUGAUUUACAAUAUUGUACAACUAGCAACAUAUUAUCUGUUGCCUGUGGCUACAUGUGAAACUAUUCAAUCAGAUCAUACAAUAAAAUUUGGUCUUCAAAAACAAAGCAUGCCAUAUACAUUUAAUUUAUAUAAUAUAAUAAUUAUUUACCAUUAGUAGUACAUUAAGAAACAUUAUGUACUUUGUAGGGUAUGUCCUGAACUUUUAAUCUAAUUAUUAUAUGAAUGCAAUAUAGUUUGGAUCAUGGAAGAUGGAUAAAGUAGAUACCACUCUACCUGUUUUGUAUCUUUCACUGAAUAAAAUAAAUCCAGCUAAAAUCUGAAUCACAAUAAAAAAUAUCCAGAAA